GAUGAACGCUGGCGGCGUGCCUAAUACAUGCAAGUCGAGCGAACAGACGAGGAGCUUGCUCCUCUGACGUUAGCGGCGGACGGGUGAGUACCACGUGGAUAACCUACCUAUAAGACUGGGAUAACUUCGGGAAACCGGAGCUAAUACCGGAUAAUAUAUUGAACCGCAUGGUUCAAUAGUGAAAGACGGUUUUGCUGUCACUUAUAGCUGGAUCCGCGCCGCAUUAGCUAGUUGGUAAGGUAACGGCUUACCAAGGCGACGAUGCGUAGCCGACCUGAGAGGGUGAUCGGCCACACUGGAACUGAGUCACGGUCCAGACUCCUACGGGAGGCAGCAGUAGGGAAUCUUCCGCAAUGGGCGAAAGCCUGACGGAGCAACGCCGCGUGAGUGAUGAAGGUCUUCGGAUCGUAAAACUCUGUUAUUAGGGAAGAACAAAUGUGUAAGUAACUAUGCACGUCUUGACGGUACCUAAUCAGAAAGCCACGGCUAACUACGUG
rnacentral:rRNA from 1 species